rnacentral:rRNA from 1 species
AUUGAACGCUGGCGGCAGGCCUAACACAUGCAAGUCGAACGGUAACAGGAAGAAGCUUGCUUCUUUGCUGACGAGUGGCGGACGGGUGAGUAAUGUCUGGGAAACUGCCUGAUGGAGGGGGAUAACUACUGGAAACGGUAGCUAAUACCGCAUAACGUCGCAAGACCAAAGAGGGGGACCUUCGGGCCUCUUGCCAUCGGAUGUGCCCAGAUGGGAUUAGCUAGUAGGUGGGGUAACGGCUCACCUAGGCGACGAUCCCUAGCUGGUCUGAGAGGAUGACCAGCCACACUGGAACUGAGACACGGUCCAGACUCCUACGGGAGGCAGCAGUGGGGAAUAUUGCACAAUGGGCGCAAGCCUGAUGCAGCCAUGCCGCGUGUAUGAAGAAGGACUUCGGGUUGUAAAGUACUUUCAGCGGGGAGGAAGGGAGUAAAGUUAAUACCUUUGCUCAUUGACGUUACCCGCAGAAGAAGCACCGGCUAACUCCGUG